rnacentral:miRNA from 1 species
CGGAAGGUCGGAGGAUGUGC